rfam:Triticum urartu cultivar G1812 contig167293, whole genome shotgun sequence.
UAAGUACUCCCUCCGUUCCAAAUUACUUGUCUUCGCUUUAUGUAGAUACGGAGGUAUCUAGCACUAAAAUAAGUCUAGAUACAUCCGUAUCUAAACAAAUUCAAGAUAAGUAAUUUGGAACGGAGGGAGUAUUAA